AAACCAACUGGGAUUACCUUAGUAACGGCGAGUGAAGCGGUAAAUGCUCAAAUUUGAAAUCUGGUACUUUCAGUGCCCGAGUUGUAAUUUGUAGAAUUUGUCUUUGAUUAGGUCCUUGUCUAUGUUCCUUGGAACAGGACGUCAUAGAGGGUGAGAAUCCCGUUUGGCGAGGAUACCUUUUCUCUGUAAGACUUUUUCGAAGAGUCGAGUUGUUUGGGAAUGCAGCUCAAAGUGGGUGGUAAAUUACAUCUAAAGCUAAAUAUUGGCGAGAGACCGAUAGCGAACAAGUACAGUGAUGGAAAGAUGAAAAGAACUUUGAAAAGAGAGUGAAAAAGUACGUGAAAUUGUUGAAAGGGAAGGGCAUUUGAUCAGACAUGGUGUUUUUUGCAUGCACUCGCCUCUCGUGGGCUUGGGCCUCUCAAAAAUUUCACUGGGCCAACAUCAAUUCUGGCAGCAGGAUAAAUCAUUAAGAAUGUAGCUACUUCGGUAGUGUUAUAGCUUUUUUGGAAUACUGUUAGUCC
rnacentral:rRNA from 1 species